rnacentral:lncRNA from 1 species
GGUUGCGAUCAUAACAGCACUAAUGCACCGGAUCUCAUCAGAACUCCGUAGUUAAGCGUGCUUGGGCCAGAGUAGUAGCAGGAUAGGUGACCCCCUGAGAAGUUCUCGUGUUGCAACCCUUAUUUUAUUUGGAUUAUUUUUCGGUUAUAUAUAUAUUUAAUCAUUGAUUCAUCGGGCCUAAGUGGCAGUGUUCGUUGGAACGGGGCUACAGGGGGGUGGAGGCGUGAUAGCUUAAGGAUAACGGUAGUGACCGACUUUGUCAAAGUAAUGGCCUUGACGAAGGCGUGCAGUCGAACGGCGCGCGGGAGACGCGAAACAGGGGCCAUACAUGGGAGCCCAUGUGUGCAUGACAUCAAGGCAUGGCAAGGUAUAAAAGAAUAAGUAGAUGGUAGUCUUUCGGUUGCGAUCAUACCAGCACUAAUGCACCGGAUCCUAUCAGAACUCCGCAGUUAAGCGUGCUUGGGCGAGAGUGGUACUAGGAUCGGUGACCCCCUGGGAAGUCCUCGGGUUGCAACUAU